rnacentral:snRNA from 1 species
GCAUAGAUUCUUUGCGAACGA